AAAAGAUAGGUGGGCGGAAUAAACAGGAUAGGAUGCUGGGCGGAAGAGGAAGUGAGGUCAGACUCUGCUCUGCUUCCGGAGAGAGAGCCGACAGCUCGGGAGCAGAGACGCCAUGCUCAGCUCUCCCAGGCAACUCCAACCCACGAUGGACUUAGGCUAGAAUCUUCCCGAGGUCUCCUUUGCUUCAACAUUGAGCUGGGUUUGGAAGCAUCAGAUGAAAUGCUGUGGGAGCAGAUGCCCUGCUGUUGAUUUGGAAGGAGAAAGUAACCAGGGAACCUUGGAAGCUGCUUGACAUGAGGCAUCUGGGAGCACACACCCUCCAGGUACACAGGCAAGACUGAUAUCAAACUAGUGAUGCUGUCUUGUCUGGAGCUUCCGCUCACUUGAUGACUCCCAAACUUCCACUCAGGCUGUGUGUGUCUUUACAAACUUGCAGACGAAGAAAGGUCUAUCUUAUAUUUAAAUUCAAUAUAAUCAUUGGUGACCCAUGUGAAAGGUCCAUUCAACCCUGAAAGGGGUCGUGACCUACAGACCGAGAACCACGGCUCUAAAGCAUCAGCGUUCACUGGAGUUAUUAAACUUUCCCAGAAGAUGCUUAGCAACAUCUGGAGAUGCUGAGGUUAUGGCAAUUAGAGAGAUGGUAUGAAGAAGCAGCCCAACUUCAUUUUGUUCUGGGGAGCCAUUUGGA